UCUUGACUAGUAUAUCGGUUAGUACACGCGCUUGUCAUGAUGCGUACACUUUAUACACUAUGUAUGUGCGCGAAAGCUGGGUUCGACUCCCAGGUCGAGAG